rnacentral:rRNA from 1 species
ACUUAGUGGCAGACGGGUGAGUAACAUGUGGGUAUCUACCCUUUGGCCUGGAAUAACACGAGGAAACUCGUGCUAAUACCGGAUAAGUCUUUACGGAGAAAGCUUUAUGCACCAUUGGAUGAGCCCGCACUUGAUUAGUUUGUUGGUAGGGUAAUGGCCUACCAAGACUAUGAUCAAUAGCUGAUUUGAGAGGAUGAUCAGCCACAUUGGGACUGAGACACGGCCCAAACUCCUACGGGAGGCAGCAGUGGGGAAUCUUGCACAAUGGAGGAAACUCUGAUGCAGCGAUGCCGCGUGAGUGAAGAAGGCCUUUGGGUUGUAAAGCUCUUUCGUCGGGGAAGAAAAUGACUGUACCCGAAUAAGAAGGUCCGGCUAACUUCGUGCCAGCAGCCGCGGUAAUACGAAGGGACCUAGCGUAGUUCGGAAUUACUGGGCUUAAAGAGUUCGUAGGUGGUUGAAAAAGUUGGUGGUGAAAUCCCAGAGCUUAACUCUGGAACUGCCAUCAAAACUUUUCAGCUAGAGUAUGAUAGAGGAAAGCAGAAUUUCUAGUGUA